rnacentral:rRNA from 1 species
UACGUAGGUGGCAAGCGUUGUCCGGAUUUACUGGGCGUAAAGAGCGCGCAGGCGGUCGUUCAAGUCGCGUGUGAAAGCCCCCGGCUCAACUGGGGAGGGUCACGCGAUACUGAUCGACUGGAAGGCAGGAGAGGGUAGUGGAAUUCCCGGUGUAGUGGUGAAAUGCGUAGAUAUCAGGAGGAACACCGGUGGCGAAGGCGGAUCUCUGGGCCAUUACUGACGCUGAGGAGCGAAAGCGUGGGGAGCGAACAGG